rnacentral:lncRNA from 1 species
AAGGGAUAACCCAGCAGCUUGGGGGGACUCUCUGCUGUCUCCUGACUCUUUAUCUGUUCAAAAGAGACACCUCCUCCUCCUCCUCAUCAUCAUCAUCAUCCUCCUCAUCCUCCUCUGGAAUUGCUGAAGUGGCAGCAUGGCAUCUCAUUUCCAGCCUUGGCUAACACCACCCACCUGCUGCCCUGGGUCUGACUGCUGGGGUUUUGUUCCUUGGCUUUUGUGGUGGAGUGGGCAAGGCCUUUUCUCUCAGCAGCAGGUGCAGAGGGCAGACUUGUCUGGACCACGCUGCAGACUGGGGUCAGCUCCCAAAGAGGGGGUGAACAACACAGGGAGGGAUUUGUGCUGCUGGCCUGUGCCUAUGGGCUUGCCCUUGUGGAAGCAGAGAGCAGCUCAGCUUUGUGGUGACAAGAGCAGCUCACCUUCCUGGUGACAACAGCAGCUCACCUUCCUGGUGACAGCAGCUCAUCUCUGUGGUGACAGCAGCUCCCCCUGCACAGGCAGGGCUGUGACAGUCCUUGCUGGAGCCCCAGGUGGAUGCAGCACCCCUCCAUCCAGGGCAGGAGGCAGCUGGAUGACUGCAGGGUGACAAAUGGCCCCAGCCCUUGCAGGCUGAGACUGGCUCCUGCUGGAGAGGCAGAUAAGGCUGGGGGUUUGGAAAUCACCAGGCACUGAGUGUUGGCAGGGGAUGCUGAUCAGCAACUUCACUUUCCAGAUACUGUUUUGCUCCUGAUCCCGAGUGUGGAUGGCACUGAUGAUGGGGAAUCUUGUCUUAACUGGAAUUUACGUGGAAUCUUGGUUCUUGGAACGGCCUGAAAAUCCCCAACCCCCAAAGGACGCAAAUUCAGUGCAAGAGUGGGCAGGCCCUGUGGGACAGCAGUGCAUCCCUGAACAAGAGGCAGCAAAGCUCUGUGUGGGACUUGUGUUGCUCCCUGAAGAUCUGAGCAGAAGAAAAAUGCAAAGACUGAAACUCCUCAUUCCAGAGGAGACUUCCACACUCAAGAUCCUCAACUGUGGGCAAAGCUGGGCUGUUCCUUCCUUGGCUCUUGCACAGCAGGACUGCUGCAGGCCCAUGAGUGCAUCACACACAUCCUGAAUGUGUCCCACAGCCUCCAGCAGCCUCCCCUCCAGAACUGCUCCAUGGAGGAAGGAUUUGCAUUUCUGAUAGUCAUGGACUGGUUUGCAAGUAUUUUCACUUUCAUCUUGUGAAAAUACUUGGGUUUGCUUUUCAAUCUGGUUUUAUUUUUAUGACAAGAAAUGUAAGGUUUACUGGAAAAAAGUGUGAUGGGGAAACUGAUCUGCCCACUUGAACCCCCCCAGGGAAUUUGAUCAAAGGCAGGCAGGAGAUUUGCUUCUCUAUGGGUGACAGCCUUCCUCAGAAAUCCCAGCCUAUAUCUGACCUCAUUUCAUACCUACACAUACUGUCCUAUGAUUUUUGAGGCUAUCUUAAUUAAUUUUCCAUUAUUAUUAUUAUUUUUCCUUAAAAAUAUUUUAUUUAAGGGUUUUACUGUGAACUAAGGAAACCAACAGAUUUGUGGGAAGAGGUUUGCUGUGGAGUAACAUCUGAAAUCAGAAUGGAAUAAAGUUUCCAUAAAUAACA